rnacentral:lncRNA from 1 species
AGAUUAAUAAUAUUAAUGUCAAAUAUUAUCUCUUAAAAAUAAGUAACAAGACAACUCUAGUUUUCAGAGUUGUGUAUAAACUUUGCGUAUAAUAUGUGCUUGCCUUUCUUUCCAGACUUUCAGAUAUGUAAUUGCCAGCUUUACUGAAUAACCAAGAAAGAGCUAAAAUUCCUUUCCCAAAAGCACUGAAAAAUAUUCUUAGAAAUGGUUCCUGAGGAAGUAGAGAUGGUGAAGGCUCUUUUAAGUAGGAAGUCAUAUCAAAAUAGAAAAAAACCCCUAGAAGAUAUUGGGGAGUAAAAUCCUCCUGAAGUCUGCUGUCUCGCUCCAGUCAGACAGAAAUCAUAGGACAUCCAUUGACUUUGAACAACUCAAGAGUAAACAGCUAUUACUUGUGCCAAAAUGAGCAAACUAUAUAAAGAUGGACAAAUAUAUCCUGAAGUGUUUUGUCUCUUUACUUCCCUGAACCCUUUAAUCAGAAAGCUUUAGCUUUCCUUUAGCACUGAAGAAAAUCUUACAGCAGUGUGAACUCCUAACCUGUAAGAGGACAUCCACUGAUUGUAUUUUUGUCAGAGUACAAAUUAUGGAAUUGUCUAAAAUGUAUAUAAUUUAUUUCUUCUGUACUAAUAGACACCAUGCCAG